GUAGUUAAUACGGAGGAAGGAAGGGGCCACGGCAGGUCAGUAUGCCCCGAAACUCUGGGGCCACACGCGGGCUGCAAUGGUAACGACAAUGUGUUCCAAAUCCGAAAGGAGGCGGUAAUCCUCAAACGUUACCACAGUUAUGACUGAGGGCUGCAACUCGCCCUCACGAAUAUGGAAUCCCUAGUAACUGCGUGUCAUUAUCGCGCGGUGAAUACGUCCCUGCUCCUUGCACACACUGCCCGUCGUUUCAUUGAAGUUUGCUUUUAGCGAGGUGACGUCUAAUUGGCGUUAUCGAACUUGAGGUAAGUGACAAGGGAAAAGUCGUAACAAGGUAACC
rnacentral:rRNA from 1 species